CCAUUUUAGUAUUUUAAUAUCAAAUGUUCAGCAAAGUUGUUGGAUGAUUAAUUUUUGUUGUUGUUUUCCAGGAUGAAGUCCAAGGUCCUGAUGGUCAGCCAGGAUACCAGCACGUCCUGAAGCUGGCCCAGGCCUUGGUGGAGGUCAGGAGCCUGAGCGGCUCUCUGAGUCCAGGGUGGACCGUCUCGUCUGUCUCUGGCAGCGCCUGUCAGAGCGAGACAAACAGAGACUGGUCUACCCUUCCAGGUAUCAGGAGAGGCAGAUCAAGGGGUGCUUCAAGGCAGCAAAGGGCAUAAACAUCGCCUUUGCUGGGAGGCAAAGCCUCCAGCGCUGCAUCCUUGGAGUGAACUUGGGCCCUGCAAACUGGCCGGACGCCAGCCGCCUGGUGGAGGCCGUCUGCAGCCAGCUCUGUCGCCUGCAUCCCACAGUGACACGUGUCAGAGGGAUCAUGAGGAGCCGGUGGUCCCUCAUCCACAGCGACUACGUGUCAGAGGGAUCAUGAGGAGCCGGUGGUCCCUCAUCCACAGCGACUACGUGUCGGAGGGAUCAUGAGGAGCCGGUGGUCCCUCAUCCACAGCGACUACGUGUCAGAGGGAUCAUGAGGAGCCGGUGGUCCCUCAUCCACAGCGACUACGUGUCGGAGGGAUCAUGAGGAGCCGGUGGUCCCUCAUCCACAGCGACUACGUGUCGGAGGGAUCAUGAGGAGCCGGUGGUCCCUCAUCCACAGCGACUACGUGUCAGAGGGAUCAUGAGGAGCCGGUGGUCCCUCAUCCACAGCGACUACGUGUCGAUACGGGAGACAGUGCUGGCGAGCCCGAGGCUGAUGGCUCAGACAACCAUCCAGCUGUUUGAGUUGAACCAGCGGACCAUCUCCCAGUGAAGCGGUGGGAGAGGUCUGUGCUGGAGAAUGGAGUCGCCAUCGUUCCUGCUCCAGCUGUGGCAGACCGACCCCUGCUUCCUGCCAAGGAGCUGUCCGUGGUGCUGGUGGGGCAAGGAGAGUCCUUUCAGUACCGCAUCCCUGAGGAGCAGCCUGGGCUGUCCACCAGGAGUCUCCCUCCUUCAGCUCCUCCUCCUCUACCUCCAAAUCAGGCUGUGCUGCCCACGCUUGCUGCCACCUCCUCUGCUUAGUUGCCUCCUCCUCCUCCAGUUGUGCCCAGGACAACGGCGUACAGGAGGAGGAAGGCAGUGGAGGCUGCUGCAGCUGGGGUGGUGGCACCACCUAGAAAACAGCAUAAGAUAAACAUGUGCAGCAAGAGUGGGCAGCCAAAAAGACUGGACACUGGAUACACCAGGAUCAGCGGUGUGUCCUACUGCGCCACAGUUGGGGGUAAAAGUGUGGAGGAAUGGAGGAAGGACUUUAAAAAAGAAUAAUGUUAU